rnacentral:lncRNA from 1 species
AAGAGAACUACCUCGCACACUGCGCAUGCGCCACCUCGGGUGGCCUCAAGGUUGCUGUCGGGAGUUGGGUUUGAGAGAACACCACCACUAAUGGGAAAACUGCCCCCUGACCAGCACAUGGCCUCAGCAUUCAUCCACAGAUGCUCCUCAAAUUGUUUUAAAAACUGCUUUUUUUUAAAGCUGUUUGUCUAUGAAGAUUAAAUGAGUUAAUAAUAUAAGCAAAGCACUUAGCAUGGCUACUGGGUGCGGUGGCUCACGCCUGUAAUUCCAGCAUUUUGGGAGGCUGAAGCAGGUGGAUCACCUGAAGUCAGGAGUUCAAGACCAGCCUGACCAACAUGGCGAAACCCUGUCUCUAUUAAAAAUUCAAAAAAAUUAGCCGGGCGUGGUGGCACGUGCCUGUAAUCCCAGCUACUUGGGAGGCUAAGGCAGGAGAAUCGCUUGAACCUGGGAGGCAGAGGUUGCAGUGAGCCAAGAUCUCGCCA